rnacentral:lncRNA from 1 species
AAACAUGGCUGACGUUCUCAAGGAGUCCAUGGUCUAGUGGAUAUUCAGUAUCCAUGACUGCACAAGUUACCUCAAAAUGCAGCAGCUUAAAACAGCACCAGUUAUUUAUUAACUCAAAUGGUUUCUGUGUGUCAGGAAUCUCAGAGUAUAUUCGCUGGGUGGUUCUUAGGAUUCCUCAUGAGGUUGCAGUCAUCUGAAUACUUGCUCUGGGAUGUAAGAUCUAAUUCUAUGCUGGCUCCCACAUACAUGCCCGGCAGUUGAUGCCAGCUAUCAAUAAGAAGGCUCACGUUUUUGCCACUCCAGAAGUCUGCUUGAGAGUCUUUACAACAUGCUGGCUUCCCCCAAAGUGAGUGGUCCCAAAGACAGCAAGGUGGAGGCAAGGUUAUCUUGAAAACUUGGCCUCAGAAGUAACAUGGCAUCAUUCCUGCAACAUCUUAUUGGUUAUAUAGAUAAAAUAACGUUACUGGGAAUCCUCCGUGCUGAAUGAAACAGCCUCAAAAUUCUUACCAAGACUUCUUCAUUCAAACACCUGGUUAGAGCCAACUAUGAGCAAGCACAUGCUAAGAAUUGGGAAGCAGAAAGAAGAGCCGAGGGGUCCAUCCACGUAGGCUCCACACUGCAGUGGCAAGUGAGACAUACAUCCACCAAUACCCAUGCAUCAAAGGUCCAGCUUCACUGGAGCUGCUCCAGCCUUAUGAGAGCAUUUCGUCACAGCACCUGAAGUUCAACCAUUGUUAAGUGUGGUCCCCACUGAACUAUAAACCAGGCCCAGCAGCCAGAAAACCCAGAUCCCAUUCUGGGAAAAGCUAUAUGUUAGAAAGAAACAUAUGUGAUCUCUUGUUGGGCAAUUCAGUUGCACUUCUUGGCCUAAUUCAUGAAAAAAAAAAAAAAAAAAAACUUGUAAGUAUUAAGCCUUCUUCCCACCCUAGAAUCCUAUGAUUUCAUGCUCUCUUCAGUCUCUCCCAGAAGAAAAUGUCCAGUAUUCAGGAAGCAUAGCUUCCCAGGAAACAGAUAGGGUAGCAGCAGUUUACCCACCCCCUACAUGACAGGAACAAUGAGUCUGCCUCCUAAAGGACGGCAGGGGGCUGGAAGAUUACAGUUCUCUAAAGACAACCUCUGCCAUCCUCCAUAGAGACCAGCACAAAGGCAAUUAAGGAUGAGUAGGAGGCCAGUUUUUAGAGUCCACCAUCAAUAUUUUCUGCAGCCACAGUCCUGAAUCUCACUUCAUCAUCUUUCUGAUGUUGGUAACAAGCGGGCAUUGGGUCUAAGAGAAAAGGAGAAAAAUUAGGGCUCCCAGCUAGACAGGUGAAUCAUGAAACAGCCACUGCCCUGCCGCUUCCCUUCCUGAGCUCGGGAUCACGCGCACCCCAGUGAUGGCAUGGGGGUGACUUUCUGGGCCAGCUGGAGCAAGAUCAAAGGCUGGUAGACAUGUAGGGCCUUGUCUGAAAACUGGCAAGAAAUGUUUUCCUGAUUUAAAGCCAACUGUCUAGAGUGAUGACUGUUAGUUUAGAACAGGAUCCUUGGAUGGAAGUGACAGAGCCAUCCCCCUCCUCAGCAGCAUCCUUAGAAGGGCUCCCUUUCAUCCCCUACAGGAAGUACCAUUCCCAGCAGGCCUUCCAUGCAGGAGCCAUGCUUAAUAUACUGGUUCUUCAGGAACACCCAGAGAAGGAACCUGCCCCCAUCAAAAGCUCAGAGAGUCCUUGUCUAGACACAAUGACAGUAACUUAGCUGAAAUAAGCCACAGAGAGGGAAACAGGACAUAGGAGAAAGGGCACAGAUACUGGAGUCAGACAGUUCUGGAUAUUCAUCCUGGCUCUGCCAUGUACCGGUUACAUGAUUUGUAGUUAGUUAACUCCCCUAUGCCUCAGUUCCUUUGUAUGUACAAUGGGAAUAAUAACAGGACCUAGUCCAUAGAGGUGUUGUUGAGAAACAGACCAUGAGAGAACCAUGUAAAACAUGAGAAAUGAAGUAAAUGAUUCUUUAUUAUUAUACUUUAAGUUAUGGGAUACAUGUGUAGACCAUACAGUUUUGUUAUAUGGGUAUACAUGUGCUAUGGUGGUUUACUGCACCCAUCAACCCAUCAUCUACAUUAGGUAUUUUUCCUAAUGCUAUCCCUCCCCCAGGCCCCCACCCCCUGACAGGCCCCAGUGUGUGAUGUUCCCUUCCCUGUGUCCAUGUGUUCUCAUUGUUCAACUCCCACUUAUGAGUGAGAACAUACAGAGCUUGGUUUUCUGUUCUUGUGUUAGUUUGCUGAGAAUGAUGGUUUCCAGCUUCAUCCAUGUUCCUACAAAGGACAUGAACUUAUCCUUUUUAAAGGCUGCAUAGUAUUCCAUGGUGUCUAUGUGCCACAUUUUCUUGAUCCAGUCUAUCAUUGAUGGGCAUUUGGGUUGGUUCCAAGUCUUUGCUAUUGUGAAUAGAGCCACAAUAAACAUACAUGUGCAUGUGUCUUUAUAGUAGAAUGAUUUAUAAUCCUUUGGGUAUAUACUCAGUAAUGGGAUUGCUGAGUCAAAUGGUAGUUCUGGUUCUAGAUUCUUGAGGAAUUGCCA